AGGCUAUUUUGGUGAUGGAGAGCCCAAAUUUAGGCCCUUUCCCAUUUAUUAAUGCACACUUCUUGGCCUGUGAUUUCAACUGGAUUAAGUAUAUAUAAAUAUGUAUUCAAUUGUUGUGAGAAUAUAUUAAAAUUCAGAUUCUUCUCCAUGGACCAGUAGUCCUUAAAAAUCUAGGAAUUGUUUAAAUACUUUGAUAUAAGAUGAAAGUCAAACUAGGAAUUGUGUAAAGAUCUGUCAAUGCUGACUGAGUUUAGUUGGGGUAAUGGUUUAAUUACUUGAGUUGAAUUUGUUUGCUUUAAUGUAUAUUUUGGCAGCAAGAGAUCUAGUGCUAAAUUCUUUUAGUUAUGUACUUAUAUAUUUAUUUUUAUAAUUUUCUGGGCUUAAAAUAUCA
rnacentral:misc_RNA from 1 species